GACUUAACCUGGGAACUGCAUCCAGAACUGUCUGACUAGAGUACAGUAGAGGUGAGUGGAAUUUCCUGUGUAGCGGUGAAAUGCGUAGAUAUAGGAAGGAACAUCAGUGGCGAAGGCGGCUCACUGGACUGAUACUGACGCUGAGGUGCGAAAGCGUGGGGAGCAAACAGGAUUAAAUACCCUGGUAGUCCACGCCGUAAACGAUGUCUACUAGCCGUUGGGAUCCUUAAGAUCUUAGUGGCACAGCUAACGCAAUAAGCAGACCGCCUGGAGAGUACGGCCGCAAGGUUAAAACUCAAAUGAAUUGACGGGAGCCCGCACAAGCGAUAAAGCAUGUGGUUUAAUUCGAUACAACGCGAAGAACCUUACCAGGUCUUGACAUCCUGCGAAUUUUCUAGAAAUAAAUUAGUGCCUUCGGGAACGCAGUGACAGGUGCUGCAUGGCUGUCGUCAGCUCGUAUCGUGAAAUAUUAAAUUAAGUCCCGUAACGAGCGCAACCCUUGUCCUUAGUUGCCAGCACGUAAUGGUGGGAACUCUAAGGAGACUGCCGGUAACAAACCGGAGGAAGGUGGGGACGACGUCAAGUCAUCAUGGCCCUUACGACCUGAACUACACACAUGCUACAAUGGCCAAUACAAAAAACUGCUAACCCACAAAGGGGCGCUAAUCCCAAAAAACCGGUCAUAGUCCGGAUUGGAGUCUACAACUCGACUCCAUAAAAUCGGAAUCGCUAGUAAUCGUGAAUCAAAAUAUCACGGUGAAUACGUUCCCGGGCCUUGUACACACCGCCCGU
rnacentral:rRNA from 1 species